GACAGAGGGUGCAAACGUUGUUCGGAAUUACUGGGCGUAAAGCGCGUGUAGGCUGCUCGGAAAGUCGGGUGUGAAAGCCCUGGGCUCAACCCAGGAAGUGCACUCGAAACUCCCGAGCUGGAGUCCCGGAGAGGAAGGCGGGAUUCUCGGUGUAGAGGUGAAAUUCGUAGAUAUCGAGAGGAACAUCUGUGGCGAAGGCGGCCUUCUGGACGGUGACUGACGCUGAGACGCGAAAGCGUGGGGAGCAAACAGG
rnacentral:rRNA from 1 species